GACGAACGCUGGCGGCGUGCUUAACACAUGCAAGUCGAACGGUAAGGCCCUUCGGGGUACACGAGUGGCGAACGGGUGAGUAACACGUGGGUGAUCUGCCCUGCACUUCGGGAUAAGCCUGGGAAACUGGGUCUAAUACCGGAUAGGACUCCGGACUGCAUGGUCUGGGGUGGAAAGCUUUUGCGGUGUGGGAUGGGCCCGCGGCCUAUCAGCUUGUUGGUGGGGUGAUGGCCUACCAAGGCGAUGACGGGUAGCCGGCCUGAGAGGGUGACCGGCCACACUGGGACUGAGAUACGGCCCAGACUCCUACGGGAGGCAGCAGUGGGGAAUAUUGCACAAUGGGCGCAAGCCUGAUGCAGCGACGCCGCGUGAGGGAUGACGGCCUUCGGGUUGUAAACCUCUUUCAGCAUCGACGAAGCGAAAGUGACGGUAGGUGCAGAAGAAGGACCGGCCAACCACGUGCCAGCCGCCGCGGUAA
rnacentral:rRNA from 1 species